rnacentral:rRNA from 1 species
UGGGGAAUUUUCCGCAAUGGGCGCAAGCCUGACGGAGCAAUACCGCGUGAGGGAGGAAGGCUUUUGGGUUGUAAACCUCUUUUCUCAAGGAAGAAGCACUGACGGUACUUGAGGAAUCAGCAUCGGCUAACUCCGUGCCAGCAGCCGCGGUAAGACGGAGGGCGCUAGCGUUGUUCGGAAUCACUGGGCGUAAAGGGCGCGUAGGCGGCCAUGUAAGUCGAGGGUGAAAGCCCGGGGCUCAACCCCGGAACGGCCUUCGCGACUGCGUGGCUCGAGACCGGAAGAGGAGGGUGGAAUACCCAGUGUAGAGGUGAAAUUCGUAGAUAUUGGGUGGAACACCAGUGGCGAAAGCGGCUCUCUGGUCCGGAUCUGACGCUGAGGCGCGAAAGCGUGGGGAGCAAACAGGAUUAGAUACCCGUGUAGUCC